rnacentral:pre_miRNA from 1 species
AGUGGGAUAGCUGGGUCAAAUGGCAAUUCCAUUUCAAGUUUUCUGAGGAAUCUCUAUACUGCUUUCCAGAGUGGUUGCACACUUUGUAGUCCCACCAGCAAU